GACGAACGCUGGCGGCGUGCUUAACACAUGCAAGUCGAACGGAAAGGCCCUGCUUUUGUGUGGUGCUCGAUUGGCGAACGGGUGAGUAACACGUGAGUAACCUGCCCUUGACUUUGGGAUAACUUCAGGAAACUGGGGCUAAUAUCGGAUAGGAGCUCCUGCUGCAUGGUGGUGGUUGGAAAGUUUCGGCGGUUGGGGAUGGACUCGCGGCUUAUCAGCUUGUUGGUGGGGUAGUGGCUUACCAAGGCUUUGACGGGUAGGCGGCCUGAGAGGGUUGCCGGCCACAUUGGGACUGAGAUACGGCGCAGACUCCUACGGGACGCAGCAGUCGGGAAUCUUGCACAAUGAGCGGGAGCCUGAUGCGGCGGCGCCGCGUGCGGGAUGACGGCCUUCUGGUUGUGAACCGCUUUCGCCUGUAACGAAGCGUGAGUGACGGUAAUGGGUAAAGAAGCACCGGCUAACUACGUG
rnacentral:rRNA from 1 species